GCAAGUUAUUAGGGAGAAAAAGCCAUCCUUCCCGAUUCCAAUACUGUUUCCAUUGUCUUAAUUGUCUUCUCAUUAAUAACCAUUUUAAGCGCGCAUGCUCAGGACAUCUCCUCAUCAUGCGUGUCAAAGAUUUGAAAAUGAUCCCAAUUUCUCUCUCUCUCUCUCUCUCUCUCUCUCUCUCCCUCCCUCUCAAAUUUCAGCAAGAUGCCUCAUCUUCCUCCUCCUCCUCCUCCCUUCCUUCUUUCCGCUUCUCACGGUCAUCGCGGCAGAAUUGCAAGCUUUGGUCCGGAUCUCGUAGGAGACCAAGUGGAAGAGGAUCGAAGCUGGAGCUAGGUGAAGUGAAAUAACCAUGGAGCUGACAAUGAGCGGGUCCAGCGACAUGACCCUAGGGGAUUGCCCAUCCUCAUCUCAUCAUGUUCGGCUCCUAGAGGGCAUCGCUUUACUUCUCUCAGGGUGGCAUGGCCUUCAGUUGGCCAUCGAGAAUCAGUGGGGCGGUGCAGAUUCGGUCCAGAAGUAUCACCAGCUCAUUGUCGAUAUCUUCUCCUGGUUCUCUUCCCGCUCCAAAGCAUCGCUUUGUGUUGAAGAGUUGGAGAAUGUGCUCCAUGAGAGCAUGUUACUUUCUUUCAACACAGAGAUAGAGGAUGGAAGCAUUGAGGAGGUAGCUGAGCAACUGAUGAUUCUGUAUGAAGAAUACGCUCAAACUACACGCACUGUUGAUUGCUUAUGAAACAAGAGCUAGCAAGCAUCUGACUCUACAACAUAUGGCCGGUACCCUCAUACACUGUCACUAUCAAUUGACUGGCAACAAAGUAAUUACAGGAAAUGCAUGGGCGAGCCAAAUGUAUAGUCAUUACCUAGUGGAAUGUUUGCAGGUUCUCAGAUAUUGACAUUUCUAUAUCUAAAUUACGUGUGUGUUUGAUGUUUGAUGGUAAGAAGAAGUUCUCUUGAGAUACAAUAAUGUCGAAAUGGAAUUUGAUAAGAAAGCAUGCAAUAACUUCAUUACAAGCUCAUUCACUGAAAACUUUAUUACAAGCAUGUGUUGGAGUUGUAGAAAUAUUCCCGAUUUAACACAAUAUUUUUAAUAAGGUUACCUUAGUAAUUCAGUAGAUUUGGAUACUCUGCGUUGAGAGGCUUUCACGUCUGAUCCAUGAUGUGGUGAAUGCUAGCAGUUGGGUACCCAUAAGGGCAGGGAGGGGCGGUCCUCCUAUCUCACACCUUAUGUUCGUGAACGACUUACUGCUUUUUGCGGAAGCUUCAACGCGACAAAUGGCUGUGAUGGGGGGCAUUCUUGACCAUUUUUGUGCCGCCCUCGGGCCAAAAGGUCAAUCUGUCUAAAACGCAAAUAUUCUUUUCCCGGAAUGUGCAGCCUGACAUCCUCAACUCUAUUGCGAGUGAGUCGUCCUUUGCGGUGGCUGACUCUUUGGGCAGGUGCUCGAAUUUCCAAAGGAGGUCUGCAUGUAGAUUGAACGCCUCUGUCCGAACUUCAUUUGGGGGCACUCGCCGGACCAUAGGAGGGUCCACACUGUCAGCUGGGAUAAUAUCACUCAGCUUACAUGCCAUGGAGUUCUUGGCCUCCAUAAGACAGACAAGUUUAACCAUGCCCUGCUUGCUAAAUUGGGUUGGGGCUUGCUCACCCGUCCGGAUGAUCCUUGAGAGGGAAAUACUCAAGACGUUUUACUGAAGGAUCUCAGCUUUGCUCCAUCUCGAGUGACUCUUGGCUGUGGAAGGCUUUGGUCAAGGUAUGGAAUGAUGUCUCUCAAGGCGCAGCAUGGUCGUUGGGCAAUGGGUGCAAAGCCCGUUUUUGGGAGGACUCAUAGGUCCCGAACUGCACUGCGCUUCAAGUCCUCGCAGCGGAAAACAUUUGUGAUGAUCUCUUAGGGGGGGCAGUAGCUAAUUUUGUAAGCCCGGAGGGGCAAUGGAACUGGCCUAUGUUUAGCGGUCUUAUCGAUCAUCGCAUGGCCCUAUGUAUUGCUGCUGUGAGACCACCACAGCCUGACGACCCUACAGAUCACCUCUGUUGGAGCUUGGAGUCCUCGGGCAGCUUUUCGGUUCGUUCAGCCUAUAACUUGCUCACUCGAGAUAAAUGGGAUGACCCCUCCCCUCUUUGGAAGCUUAUAUGGCAUUGGAAGGGUCCUCGACGGGUCCGUAACUUUCUUUGGAUAUUCGAGCGUUGUUGUUGCGGAGCUAUGGGGUGCUUUUAUAGGCUGACAACAUGUAAGCUCCCUGGGCUUUCGUAAGGUGAUCCCAUAGCUGGACUCCUCUCUCAACCGUAAUCUGAUCAUGGGCUCCUCUCCCGGGUCACACCAGGUGGCGUCGCAGGUUAUCAAGGAACUUACCGAAAAAGAUUGCCAGGUUGAGGUUUGUCACAUCUACUGCAAAGAGAAUGUAUGUGCAGAUUGGUUGGCUAAUGGGUCUCUCCUACUCCCGCUUGGUACCCAUUUCUUCAGCUCAUUAUCAGUGGGCAUUGGAGGCGCUUCUUCUAGGCGAAGCUGUGGCUUCCAUAACUCGUUUUGUUCCUCAAAUAUGUAAUUUUGUACUUUAAGGUUGUUGCCUUCCUUCUGCUACCGAAUAAAAUCUGCCUUCUAGAGCUGUAUUGAGUCUCAGUGGUGCUAGUAUUGCCAUUAACUCGAGAAUCAAAUAUAACUAAAAGAGAAUAUAGUGCAGUGGUGUACACCUUCGCCCGUUGA